rnacentral:rRNA from 1 species
UAAAACGUAGGAGGCAAGCGUUAUCCGGAUUCACUGGGCGUAAAGCGCGUGCAGGCGGUUCGGUAAGUUGGGCGUGAAAUCUCCUGGCUCAACUAGGAGAGGUCGUUCAAUACUACCGGGCUAGAGAGUGGUAGAGGAAGAUGGAAUUCCCGGUGUAGUGGUGAAAUGCGUAGAUAUCGGGAGGAACACCAGUGGCGAAGGCGAUCUUCUGGACCAUUUCUGACGCUCAGACGCGACAGCUAGGGUAGCAAACGGGAUUAGAGACCCCGGUAGUCCUAGCCGUAAACGAUGUGAACUUGGCGUCGGUGGGUUAAACUCCAUCGGUGCCGAAGCUAACGCGAUAAGUUCACCGCCUGGGGACUACGGCCGCAAGGUUA